rnacentral:rRNA from 1 species
GACAGAGGGUGCAAACGUUGUUCGGAAUUACUGGGCGUAAAGCGCGUGUAGGCGGCUAAGUAAGUCGGGCGUGAAAUCCCACGGCUCAACCGUGGAAGUGCACUCGAAACUGGAUGGCUAGAGUCCUGGAGAGGAAGGUGGAAUGCUUGGUGUAGAGGUGAAAUUCGUAGAUAUCAAGCGGAACACCGGUGGCGAAGGCGGCCUUCUGGACAGUGACUGACGCUGAGACGCGAAAGCGUGGGGAGCAAACAGG